UACAGAUGCAUGUUCUGAUGGUGACUUUGAUGGUGACUAUUGGUUCCGUUGAUCGUCCUAUUUAUAAGUCGGAUUUAUGGACAUUUAUUUCCGAGACGCCGGAAUUCUAUCCGCAAUAUUUAUCAGUGGGGAUCCGUUUAUUUCAGGAUUCCCUGGGCCGAUUCAGAGAUUGUUGUGGUUAUCUGUUCAGAGAACCUCU
rnacentral:lncRNA from 1 species